UCAAAGAGGUCAGAUUUGUGGGCAGGCAAGAGCUCAGGAAUGAAGAACCAAAAAGGAGGCUCUCAACCCCUCUCCAAGGCCAGACGCUCUCUGUACUCCCAUUAACUUCACAACCAAGUGCAGAUGCUCGACCAACUCUUCAGCCAGUGCAUGCAGGGCUCUGGAGGUGAUGCCAGCAGGAUCUGGAGGCUCUCCAGAACAUACUGUUCCAAUAUAAUAGCAGCUGGGUCUAGUUCUGAUAUGUAUUCUACUGAUGUCUUCACUUCAUUUGUAACUUGCAAUCCUAACAUCAAAGUCAAAGUAAGGCUGAUAUCAGAGAGGUCCAUCAUCUGUGAUUCAUAAAGAAAUGGUCCUUAAUUGCAGCUGGCUGAGAAAGCCAUGAGAAACCAGGGUCUCGCUCUGUAACCCAGGCUCUGGAAUGCAGUGGCACAACCACGGCUCACUGCAGUCUCAACCUCCUGGGCUCAACUGAUCCCCCCACUUCAGCCUCCUGAGUAGCUGGGACUACAGAAGACACUGGAGGUGAAGAAGGAAGCUCUUGACUCUCCUAAAGCUGAUUCCAAAGUGAAGGCUUUGAAGGCCAAGAAGGCAGUGCUGAAAGGCAUCCACACAGCCACCAAGAAAAAAAAAAAAAA
rnacentral:sRNA from 1 species